rnacentral:rRNA from 1 species
GUGGGGAAUAUUGGACAAUGGGCGAAAGCCUGAUCCAGCCAUGCCGCGUGUGUGAAGAAGGUCUUCGGAUUGUAAAGCACUUUAAGUUGGGAGGAAGGGCAGUAAGUUAAUACCUUGCUGUUUUGACGUUACCAACAGAAUAAGCACCGGCUAACUUCGUGCCAGCAGCCGCGGUAAUACGAAGGGUGCAAGCGUUAAUCGGAAUUACUGGGCGUAAAGCGCGCGUAGGUGGUUCAGCAAGUUGGAUGUGAAAUCCCCGGGCUCAACCUGGGAACUGCAUCCAAAACUACUGAGCUAGAGUACGGUAGAGGGUGGUGGAAUUUCCUGUGUAGCGGUGAAAUGCGUAGAUAUAGGAAGGAACACCAGUGGCGAAGGCGACCACCUGGACUGAUACUGACACUGAGGUGCGAAAGCGUGGGGAGCAAACAGG